rnacentral:rRNA from 1 species
AUAUCAGUCAUGCAUAGCAUAUCAAUAAGCGGAGGAAAAGAAACUAACAAGGAUUCCCCUAGUAACGGCGAGUGAAGCGGGAAGAGCUCAAAUUUGAAAUCUUAAAGGGUUUCCCUUUACGAAUUGUAGUUUAAAGAAGUGUUUUCUGUUGAGGUUUUGGUAAAAGUUCUUUGGAAUAGGACAUCAUAGAGGGUGAGAAUCCCGUAUUUGACCUUUACUUUCAACUUUGUGAUACACUUUCAAAGAGUCGGAUUGUUUGGGAAUGCAGUCCAAAAUGGGUGGUAAAUUUCAUCUAAAGCUAAAUAUUGGCGAGAGACCGAUAGCGAACAAGUACCGUGAGGGAAAGAUGAAAAGAACUUUGAAAAGAGAGUUAAACAGUACGUGAAAUUGUCAAAAGGGAAGCGUUUGACACCAGUGUUGUUUUUCUGAAAAUCAAUUAAAGAACUGUUUAUGCUAAGCUGUUUAGACUUUAUCAGCUAUCUGUUUAGUUUUGAGCCUUUCUUUAAUGCACUUUUCAGUUAACAAGUCAACAUCAAUUUCUUUUGCUGUAAAAAAGCUUGAGGAAGGUGGCUUGAGAUUCGUCUUAAGUGUUUAUAGCCUCUUGCCUAUGCAGUCGGAGAGAUUGAGGUCUGCAGCGUAGAUCCUUCGGGGCUAAAUGCAUUUGUGCUAAGUUAUAGCAUUUUAUAGACAACUUGUUGACUAUGAUUUGUCUUGUAGCUUACUCGCUUAUGUUAUUUUACCUACGCUUAGGAUGUUGACGCGCGUGUGUGCGUG